UGACGAGUGGCGGACGGGUGAGUAAUGCUUAGGAACUUGCCUUUGCGAGGGGGAUAACAGUUGGAAACGACUGCUAAUACCGCAUAAUGUCUUCGGACCAAACGGGGCUUCGGCUCCGGCGCAAAGAGAGGCCCAAGUGAGAUUAGCUAGUUGGUAAGGUAACGGCUUACCAAGGCGACGAUCUCUAGCUGUUCUGAGAGGAAGAUCAGCCACACUGGGACUGAGACACGGCCCAGACUCCUACGGGAGGCAGCAGUGGGGAAUAUAGCACAAUGGGGGAAACCCUGAUGCAGCCAUGCCGCGUGUGCGAAGAAGGCCUUCGGGUUGUAAGGCACUUUCAGUUGUGAGGAAAAGUUAGUAGUUAAUACCUGCUAGCCGUGACGUUAACAACAGAAGAAGCACCGGCUAACUCCGUGCCAGCAGCCGCGGUAAUACGGAGGGUGCGAGCGUUAAUCGGAAUUACUGGGCGUAAAGCGCACGCAG
rnacentral:rRNA from 1 species